rnacentral:rRNA from 1 species
CCUACGGGAGGCAGCAGUGAGGAAUAUUGGUCAAUGGGCGAGAGCCUGAACCAGCCAAGUCGCGUGAAGGAUGACGGCUCUAUGGUUUGUAAACUUCUUUUAUCUGGGAAUAAAGUGAGGAACGUGUUCCUUUUUGUAUGUACCAUAUGAAUAAGCAUCGGCUAACUCCGUGCCAGCAGCCGCGGUAAUACGGAGGAUGCGAGCGUUAUCCGGAUUUAUUGGGUUUAAAGGGUGCGUAGGUGGUUAAUUAAGUCAGCGGUGAAAGUUUGGGGCUCAACCAUCAAAGUGCCGUUGAAACUGGGUUACUUGAGUAUGUGUGAGGUAGGCGGAAUGCGUGGUGUAGCGGUGAAAUGCAUAGAUAUCACGCAGAACUCCGAUUGCGAAGGCAGCGUACUAAACUAUAACUGACGCUGAAGCACGAAAGCGUGGGGAUCAAACAGGAUUAGAUACCCGGGUAGUC